rnacentral:rRNA from 1 species
UCGCUACUACCGAUUGAAUGAUUUAGUGAGUUUCAGGGACCGCAGACUUACGGGGGUUUUCUCCUGUUUGUUUGUCGGGAACUGACACAAACUUGACCAUUUAGAGGAAGUAA